rnacentral:rRNA from 1 species
GACGAACGCUGGCGGCGUGCUUAACACAUGCAAGUCGAACGGAAAGGCCCUGCUUUUGUGGGGUGCUCGAGUGGCGAACGGGUGAGUAACACGUGAGUAACCUACCCUUGACUUUGGGAUAACUUCAGGAAACUGGGGCUAAUACCGGAUAGGAGCUCCUGCUGCAUGGUGGGGGUUGGAAAGUUUCGGCGGUUGGGGAUGGACUCGCGGCUUAUCAGCUUGUUGGUGGGGUAGUGGCUUACCAAGGCUUUGACGGGUAGCCGGCCUGAGAGGGUGACCGGCCACAUUGGGCCUGAGAUACGGCCCAGACUCCUACGGGAGGCAGCAGUGGGGAAUAUUGCACAAUGGGCGGAAGCCUGAUGCAGCAACGCCGCGUGCGGGAUGACGGCCUUCGGGUUGUAAACCGCUUUCGCCUGUGACGAAGCGUGAGUGACGGUAAUGGGUAAAGAAGCACCGGCUAACUACGUG